UUAAUACUCCCUCCGUCCGAAAAUACUUGUCCUAGAAAUGAAUGUAUCUAGACUUAUUUUCAUUAUAGAUACAUCCAUUUUAUUCAUUUCUAGGACAAGUAUUUACGGACGGAGGGAGUAUUGU
rnacentral:pre_miRNA from 1 species